UGGCUUGUACAGGCUUUGGAAAGCACUGCUUCACUGCUGGGAUUGGUGGUGCAGCAUGGACAUGGUACCUUGUGCUGCUGGUGAAUUCUGACUGACUGUGGCUGUGGGAGCGACAGAGCCCCCGGUGUUGCUCACACAGGCAGGAGAUGGAUACAGGCAAAGAGGAUGGAACCGCUGGAAUUCCUUCAUAAUAACAGGAAAUUGGUUCAUUUGCCUUGGAGCACAGCAAUGGACGAGCCUUGGCCUUACCCCUGUCGAGAGGCAACACACGGAGGAAGAGGCCAGUGGGGUCAGACUGACUGUCUGUGCCAGCCACGGCUGCUCUGUGGGACAGGAAGGAAACUGUAUUUGGAAAAAUCAGUAUCACAAGCUUCCUUGCUGGCAAAGGAUGUCAUCAGAACA